CCGUGUGUCUCAGGACAACCUUCUGGUUGAAGACGGUUGGAAGGCAAGCUAAUAUUAAAAGCACCCUUUGUUGGAAGGACAAUCUGCUCCAAAUGCAGCUUAGAGCUCAGAAAGCAAACAAGGACAAAGAAGGGCUUGGAAUUUGCAACCUGCCAGUUAGCAUCUGUGCAACAAGUAGGCAAUCAGUGACCAAUCCGAAAAGAAGAGGAAGCUAAUUCACAAAAUGCAAAUUGAGCAUGGAGACUUUUCCAAGGGCUUUACAACAUUUGAAGCAGUGCAGCCCCUGGAAAGAUCCAGAGGAAACAAGAAAGGAGAUCCACAGCAGGCAAGUCUUCCUAAAAGCAAGACAAACCUGUCAGGACCUGCUAGAGAAAUAAAAGAACCUGGGCAUUUUGAGGAGAGGAGAGGAGAAGAGAAGAGAAGCUCCUUGACAUGAUGUCUGAAAGAGAACUAGUAUG